rnacentral:lncRNA from 1 species
AUGGUUUACAUGUCUUGUGAUAUUUUUCUUUUUCUUGCAGAUCAUACAUAUAAUUUCCUGUGCGGCUCUCAGUAUCUCCAAGACCUAGGAUGCUCCUUGAGAGUGUAUUCCUGCUUAUGUAAACGAGAGCUUUCUAGAAGAGAUAAUGGUUAUGAACACUGGCCCUUAACCAAGAAACAGAAGUUGAAUGAACUGCGGGAAGAUAAACUUCACUUUGCUGUGAUUUCAGAACUGAUAUCAGCAGGCAGUUGUCUAAAAACUAUAUUUGUUUUCCUAAUCUGCUACUUUUCACGACAAUUAUAUUUGGUAAGGAAAACAUUCUAUUGAAGAGAUGCAACAGAUUCAUCAUCCUCAUUUUUUUUUACCUGACUGUUUGCCUCGCUACAGUGGUGUCUUCCCUCUGUCACCCUCAGACUGCCCUCCCGUGACUAGCCCCUGAUACUUCAGGUGAGUGUUAUUUCAACACCUGUGCUGUUAUCACAGGCCGGUUCCAGGGCUGGACUCUUCCCACCUGAGUAAGACUGACCACGUGGUGAGGGCUGGCUGGGCAGCAGAUGGAGCUUUGGCAGAUGGAGCAGGCUCAGAAUCAAGAGGACUUGGGAAAGAAGCGUUAGCCCGAAGUCUAGGCAGCCUAGGAGUCAAUGACGAAGGUAGUCAUGCACAUGGGGAUUUGGAAGAGAGUCUUAAGUAUUAGGAAAGUGUAGGGGGGAAUAAGCCUACAUUUCAGUCCUAGAGCAAAUCCAGGCUUGAAUGGGAACCAUGGCAGAAGCAGAGGCAGCAAGGAAGAGACAAGAAUCUUCUACCCGAAGCUGAGUCUUAAGAUGUCUCAUCUUAAGAGUUCUUAGGCUCUUAGCUUCUCAAGCCAGGAACCUAGGUUUUAGAAGCUGGGUUGAAGGUCAGAGUGAGAUUUGAUUCUGAGCUGACUCUUGGGAUUCUUAAACUCUUCCUGUCUCACGUCAAAGCUUUGUCCCAGAAUCAGAUACCAGAAGUCAGAGGAUUCAGCUGACCUGUUGAAGAUCACAAGCUAAUUAGUGCUGGGCCCAAAUUAGAUCCCAGGUUUUCAAUUCUCAGACCAGGGCUUUUUAUGCCACCUAGAAAAAUAUUCCAUUGUUUUUAACGUGUUCACUUGUCACUGUUGUUUCAUAACUAUAAAGAGAAUUAAUAAUUAGGAUCAGAUUACUGGAAAGCUAAAAUGAAGCAAUUUAUAGACACAUCUAGUAAAAAUACAUACGAAUUAAUCUUGGAUUUUCCAAAAGCCUCAAAAUUGGUUUUUCUGAUCAUUUUUUAUAUAUUUCUAUGAGUUGAUUAUAGGUGGAUUCAUGAUAGA